GAGGUGCAUUACACAAGCUACUUAGUGGAAAAGCAGAUUCCUAACUUGUGUCCAGCCCUGCACAUUUAGGGGCUAUGAAAGGCUAUUUCUGGCUGUCGUGCUAUGUCUCUGCUCUCUUCGUCUUGGGCGUCCUGCAACAGAGAAUCAACUGAGGUCCCUUCUUCAAAUGCCCUCGCCUGAGUCUACAUAAGGCUGAGGCCCAGGAGGGAGGGUGCUGCACUUGGGACCACUGGGAGGCCAUUUGCCCCUGAGCCAGGGAUGCAAGCAGAGCAGGUGAGUCGGUGCGGGGACCCUUUGCUGAGCGUGAACCCUCAGGGAAUUGCAAAUGAAAGUCACACCCCCGUGAGAAGAGGAAGCAAUAGUUCUAGUAGUGGCUUUAGUAACGAGGUAGUUGACGAUUGAAGUAAUAAUAACUAUAGCAAUGGCUGUAUUAAUGGUGGUAGCAGUAACAAUGGUCCCAUAUAUAGUCCUUGGUAAGCAUCUGGAGCUGCUGUACACAUGCAUUCCAUAUAUGAACUCACCUAAUCCACUCAGUGA
rnacentral:lncRNA from 1 species